GUGCAGGGCAGGGGCUGGCCGGCCAGCGUCCGAGCCGUCCGAGGUCAGGUGCCGUCUGUACCUGGAGGACGGCUCUCCCCGCCUUCGGUGCCGCCAACAGCUCAGAUGCCCGUUUGCUUGUGCUGUUCCUCUGAGGCAGAGCCGGGGUGACGCGCCCCCCGGAAGGGACCCUUGUCCUUCUGGGCCGUAGGGUGUGUCCCUCGGCCUGAAGGAACGGUGGCUGUCCGUCUAGGACUCUGUGCAGGCCUCCACUCCUGUCUUGGGGGCAGCCGUCUGUGCAUCGCGCUUCCCGGGUGAGCGGCCUCUGAGACGGCAGUUCCUUUCUGGAAAACUCAGAAAUCUGCCCACAGACAAGGAAGGCGUCCCGGGAUCUGUGCACCCGGACGGGAAGGCUCCUGGAGCCGGGUCCCACUGUGGGUCACCGGUACCAGGAAAAGGGAGAUGCCAGUCCACAGCCAGGGCACCCUGGUGGCCUUCAGCCUUGCCUCGGGGCAGUGGCUGGCAGAGGGUCAGGGGGCGCCAGGAUCUGCCUUUGAAGACAGGGUUCUGGGGCUGGGCAGGCGGCUCGGAGGUCGAACUCUGCCCCCAUGCAGGAGGCCCUGGGUUGCAACCCUGAAACCACAGACAAACAAAAGUACAUUGCUGACGAGGAACAGGAACAAUUUUAGCUCAUGUUUGUGUGAUUUGGGGUAAGAGAUGGCUUUUAACCAGCAUCAAAAAGAAGAAAGGAAUAUCUUAAAGGCUCCCAGAUCUGACCUCUGCAAAUGACAGAUUUGCUGCUUAAAAGUUAAGUAUUUUGUUCUGGUAAGAGAUGAGCGAUUCAGGAAAAACUGGGGGAAAGUUUUGCCAUCCCUGUGAAAGAUAGAAGCUUAGGGUCCACCAUAUACAAAGAGCUUGGCAAAUAAAAUAAAUACAAAAACAAACGUGGGCAAAGACGAUGAAAACGGAAGAGGCCGAGAUGACAUAAAAAGCAGUUCAAUUUUACCAGUAAAAAUGGUCCUGUUAAGAUGAGGUAUUAUUCUGCCUCUCCCAUGAGCAAAAUGUUUACAGACUGAUAGUCUCAAGGGCAGCGGGUUAUAGAAAAGGGCUCCUUCCUACAUCGAUGCUGGGAUUGGGGACCAUAGCAAAUGGGCUACCCUGACUCAGCUGUCCCGUUUUAAAGGCAUUUAACCAGGGUUGACAGCCAGAGCUGCCUGUGCUCUUCAGCAUCUCGUAGAAAGAGAUCUAUGUUUUACAGGAAAGUGGAACAUUGUCUGCUAGAGGCCUUGAAGGACCAGCCAAGGGGACGUCACAGAUGCUGAGGGGACCGUAGACUGUGGAUCCCAGGAGACAUUUGUUUAAUGAGGUCGCUGGAUGGAGGCCAACCUCACUGCCCGGGGCCCUCUCUCCAAGCGUCUGGAUCUCCUACAUCACUGGGGCCAACCCUCGAGAUGCCCGGGCUGCGUGCGUCAUUGUCCCCACCUGGCAGAAGAAGCAGAGGCUUCGAGGCACCUUGGGUCCAGAUGCACAGAAGCAGACUCCACGGCACAGGGGUAGAGGCCAUCCUCUACUCUCUUCCUCUCUUUGCACCACUAUUUGCCCUGUGUGUCCUUUUCUUUUUCUCCACCCGUCGCUGGGUCCACACCCACUCUGGUGACGUCAUUGGAGCUGGGUUACAUCCAUUUCCUAGACUGCACAAGAAGAGAUGGGAUUCCAAAGUGUGUGCUUACAUCUCUGGCCUCCUGAGCCCAUAUCCUCUGGGCCUCUAGACUGUGAACUGAGAAGAGCCAGCCCUGGUAUCGGAGGUAUCCCCUGGGGGUGGGAAGAGUAGGACUUUCAGAGUCACUCUGCUGCCAUUUGGAUUCUGAGUGUCCCCUAAAGUCCACUUGGAAAGGCUGGCUUCUGGGGCUGUGACGUUGGGAGGUGCUGUAGACUCUAAGAGUUGGGGGUCUUCUGGCUUCUCUCUCUGCUCCGGUUCUAAAUGUGACCCUUAGCUCCUGCCAUGAUGUCCCACCACUGGCCACACUUACCUGUGGCCAGCCCAAGGGGGCCACCUGAUCCUGGACUCCGAAUCUCCUAAACUGUGAGCUCAACGGACAUUUCCUUUACCAGUAGCCGGUGUCAGGUGUCGACACGUCGUGGUGCCACGCAGCUGAGAAGUACAUCCCUCUGGAGGUUCCUAGGCCCCCAACACGCGGGAUUCAUCAAGAUGCCAGCCAAUGGGGUCACGGGUGACCGGGAUCCUGAUAUGAAACCGUGCGAGUGACAGUCCCUGACCUUUUGUCAGCCCCGGGAAUGGAUGCUCAAGGUGUGUGUGUCACCAAAUGGCCUCCUUGGAGCACCCCUGACAGACAAGGGACGAGGGAGGAGUCUGGGAGAGAUUGCCGAGAUCCAUUACCAGACAGUACCUGUUGGCCACAGAUAGUCUUCUCAGAAAACAACCCGCCACUGCAGCUCUGCAGGGAGAAGCACAGCAGGAGCCACUUAGAGACCCAGGCAGGAGAAGGAGAAAUGGAGCUGGCCCUGGAUGUCUGGGGAGGGACAUCCCAAUUCACCUGGGACAGGACAGGGCUUGCCUGGCCAUCUGGUCUACCUGCCAUCUGGGACUCCCAGAGGAGCCUCAACCGUAGCAGUCAGGCCAACAGACCUGUCGGAAUUAGAGGGGUCCUGACCUGUCUUUGUGGGCAGUUUUGGGCAGGAUCCUCAUCUGCCAGGCCACCCACUGGAGGUGCUGACCACACGUGCUCAGAGGAUUCUAGGGCUCCACUGUGCUUGUUGCCCAGGUGGCUCGGAUGAGGACACCAGCUACUCCACGUAGGAACUGGGCCAGGUCUCCAACUGGGUCAGUCGCCGUUCAUUUGUCGACUCUGUUCUGCGUGACCAGUGCUCGCAGAUGGCUUUUCACCCAGUGGCUCCGUGGCUCCKGUCAGCUCUCCCUACCUGCAGGUGCUGCAUCCACAGGUUCCCCAGCUGUGGACUGAACCCAGUGGAAAGAGGAAAUGUCUGUCCGGAACGUGUACAGAGUCAUUCCUCAUCAGAAGGCACCCUGACAACCGCUUCCACCCCAUCUAACCCCGUUGGGCAUUAUGAGUAACUUAGAGAUGAUGUGAAGGAUCCAGGAAGAUGUAUGGAGGGUCGGAGCAAAUACCACGUCGUUUCACAUAGAGACUGUGUCUAUGGGCACCUCACGGAUCCGGUUACCCCUGAACACCGAGGAAUGACUGCACUUGAAAUGUGGACGGUGGUCCCCUGGGUGCCCAGCUGGAGGUCCGGUCACUGGCCUUACUCUGGCCCCCCACACCAAGGAAACGCGACACGCUCCCCACUCCCAUGGGCCUCCGUUACGGUCAACGACAACUGCUCUCCAGCGGCUGCAGAGAGCAAGAGGUACCUACUUUGGAC